AUAAAAUUUUAUUAUAGGAUUGGAAAAAUACUCCAUAGAUUUUAUGACUUUAAAUCCUUACUUCCGUUGAUAAUAAUGAAUGAAAGCUUUUAACCAGAUGUUCUUUUUCGGCAUUUUGCGGCAAGACCGUUGAGGAUUUUCUAGAAAAAAGGAUUAUUGUACCCACCUACCUACCUUAAAAUUUUUCUAAUGGAAACUUUUAAGUAAAUGAACCGUUUAUUUCACAACCAUCAGUCUAUCGCAUCUGUCGUAGUACAGUGUUAUACGUGGUUCUCCCUUGUUACAUGUUGAGUUCUUUUUGGUAAUAUUACUAAUAUUUUAAAAGAAUGCCGAAAGUAAAAUCGACGCCGGAUGAGUGGAUAAGGGGUUUUCCAGAAUAAAAAUUAGAAAACAACAAAAUAUUCUGCAGAGCUUGUGUGAAAACCAUUCAAAGUGAUAAAAAAAUAUAACGUGACGCAACAUGUCAGAACGACUCUUCAUGUAGAAAGGAAGAAAAUGUUUGAAGUUUCUAAAAUUAAACAGCAGACCAUACACGAAUCUGUUGCAUCUACUUCCACAAAAGAUGAGCGGUUUCAGUUUAAUUUCGAUUUAUGAUGAUCCAGUCCAAUAUACCUUUAAAAAAAUUGGAGAAAGGCCCUCUUCAAGAAUUCCUUGAAAAACACUGCAAUCGACAUAUUCCGGUUGAAAGUACUUUCCGAAAAAAUUAUGUAGGCCCAGUGUUUCAGCAAGUUUACAACGAAAUUAAACAUCGCAUUGGAGAUAAUUAUUUAUGGUUCGCUGUCGAUGAAAGAACCGAUAGUUGUGGAAGAUACGUGGCAAGUUUAAUUGUUGGAAUCUUAAAUGAAAAUUUCCCUAGUCGAGGGUAUGUAGUAAGUUUGAAAAUGUUAGAUAAAACAAAUGGCAAUACGAUUACCAGAUUUGUAAAUGACAGUCUUACGUCACUAUUUUUGCCAAAUGCCGUACCGGCGAAUAAAAUUUUAUUCAUGAUCUCGGAUGCAGCUCGUUAUAUGUUGAAAGCAGGGAAUAAUCUAAAAAUAUUGUACCCGAAUUUAAUUCACUCUACUUGCAUUGCCCACGAUCUAAAACAGAGUGACUGAAGGAAUAGGUUUGCAGUUUCCUACUGUUAAUAAAUUAGUGGCAAAUGGUAAAAAGAUUUUUGUUAAAGCCCCACUAAUAAGAGUGCAACAUUUUAAGGAAAAUUUUCCAAACAUACCAUUGCCUCCAGAGCCGAUUGUAACGAGGUGGGGAACAUGGUUACAGACCACAUUUUAUUAUGACAAAUAUAUCAAAGAAUUUGAGGAAGUAGUUACAGAGUUUAGCGAAGAUUCUUCUCAAUCGAUUAAAGAUUGCAUAAAUAUUUUGGAAAACAAAGAUUUGCGACAAGAUCUAGCUUUUCUAAGAAGCAAUUAUCAAUUCGUAUGUGAGGUAAUAGAAAAGUUAGAAAAACCCAACAUGUUGUUGGUAGAUGCCAUAAACUUAGUGAAAGAAUUUAAACAACAAGCAAACGCAGUAAGGGGUGAUAUUGGUUUCAGUGUUCUUUCCGACGUUGCUCGUGUUUUACAAGGCCAGAAGGUGGAAAAUUUGGAGUUAGAUUCAAUAUUAGUUGCAAAAUUCAAAUUUGCGCCAACAACGAGUGUGGAUGUUGAACGCACAUUCUCCAAUUUUAAACACAUUUUAAAUGAUCGGCGAAAAAAUUUUACAGUGGACAACUUGGAACAUAUUACAAUGAUAAAUUGUUUUAAAGAAAACUGAAAUACGUGUGUAAAAUAUAAAG